AAUCAACGCUGGCGGCGUGCCUCAGACAUGCAAGUCGAACGAUUAAAGCUCUCUUCGGAGAGUGCAUAGAGUGGCGCACGGGUGAGUAACACGUAAGUAAUCUACCCUCGAGUGGGGAAUAACGUCCGGAAACGGGCGCUAAUACCGCAUAAUGCAGAGGCAUCAUAAGAUGACAGUGGUUAAAGAUUUAUCGCUUGAGGAGGAGCUUGCGGCAGAUUAGCUAGUUGGUAAGGUAACGGCUUACCAAGGCUACGAUCUGUAACCGGUCUUAGAGGACGGUCGGUCACACUGACACUGAAUAACGGGUCAGACUCCUACGGGAGGCAGCAGUCGGGAAUUUUGGGCAACGGGCGAAAGCCUGACCCAGCAACGCCGCGUGAAGGAUGAAGUAUUUCGGUAUGUAAACUUCGAAAGAAUAGGAAGAAUUAAUGACGGUACUAUUUAUAAGGUCCGGCUAACUACGUGCCAGCAGCCGCCGUAAUAC
rnacentral:rRNA from 1 species